rnacentral:snRNA from 1 species
CUAAUGGCUAACGAAGAACU